rnacentral:rRNA from 1 species
GACGAACGCUGGCGGCGUGCCUAAUACAUGCAAGUCGAACGCAGUGGGGCAGGGUGAGUAACACGUGGGUGACCUCACCAUCAGAGGGGAGAACACUUGGAAAAAGGUGCUAAACCGAUAUUGAUGGAUGGACCCGCGGUGCAUUGGCUGGUUGGUGAGGUAACGGCUCACCAAGGCCACGAUGCUUAGCCGUUCUGAGAGUGGGAUCGGCAACACCGGUACUGUGACCCGGCCCAGACUCCUACGUGAGGAAGCAGUAGGGAAGCUUCGGCAAUGGACGAAAGUCUGACCGAGCAACGCCGCGUGAAUGAAGAAGGUUUUCGGAUCGUAAAACUCUGUUGUUAGAGAAGCGGUAUCUAACCAGAAAGCCACGGCUAACUACGUGCCAGCAGCCGCGGUAAUUC